UACGUACUAUGUUUGUUUCAAAUAAACCAA
rnacentral:piRNA from 1 species